AUUGAACGCUGGCGGCAUGCUUUACACAUGCAAGUCGAACGGUAACAGGCCGCAAGGUGCUGACGAGUGGCGAACGGGUGAGUAAUGCAUCGGAACGUGCCCAGUCGUGGGGGAUAACUACUCGAAAGAGUAGCUAAUACCGCAUACGAUCUAUGGAUGAAAGCGGGGGACCGUAAGGCCUCGCGCGAUUGGAGCGGCCGAUGUCAGAUUAGGUAGUUGGUGGGGUAAAGGCUCACCAAGCCAACGAUCUGUAGCUGGUCUGAGAGGACGACCAGCCACACUGGGACUGAGACACGGCCCAGACUCCUACGGGAGGCAGCAGUGGGGAAUUUUGGACAAUAGGCGCAAGCCUGAUCCAGCAAUGCCGCGUGCAGGAAGAAGGCCUUCGGGUUGUAAACUGCUUUUGUACGGAACGAAACGGCUCUGGUUAAUACCCGGGGCUAAUGACGGUACCGUAAGAAUAAGCACCGGCUAACUACGUG
rnacentral:rRNA from 1 species